UAAGGAGGAAAAGAUGCCUCCUGGUUAUGAAUGCUCUGUAGUCAAAAUUUGCCAUCCUUUCUUGUGGUCAAAGUUGUGGUAGAAUCCCAUGAGACAGUCCUGGUAAAAAAUAAAGGCUGAGCAGCUUUCUGCCUUUCCUUUCUUUCAGAUAAUUACCUCAUAGCUAUAGGAACGUUUAGAGCUUAGCAGAAAAAUAGUCACUAGACAGGUUAGCGAGACAUUUGGGAUCCUUUCAGGGCCUAAAGUUAUUUUUUGUAGAUCUGUAGAGCUCAGUGAAGAGAAAGUGGGUUGGGAAGACAUAUGUAGAUUUAUUGCUUGAGGAGCAGCUAGCUAACUAGAUGUAAGGGAAGUGUUUAAGAGAAACAGUGACUCUAGAGACUUCUGCAAGUAGUGGAUUCAAAAACUUCUCCUAGGAAUAUGUUAGAUUUUCAUUAAUUUCUGGAUCGUCUAAGGAAGCAUAAGAAUUCCAUAGGGAAACUGAACCCAAACUAAUAAACCCUUUCUUGAAAAGAA